rnacentral:rRNA from 1 species
AAACCCUGAUGCAGCCAUGCCGCGUGUGUGAAGAAGGCCGUUCGGGUUGUAAAGCACUUUCAGGUAGGGAGGAAGGUAGUGUAGUUAACACCUGCAUUAUUUGACGUUACCUACAGAAGAAGCACCGGCUAACUCCGUGCCAGCAGCCGCGGUAAGUACGGGAGGGUGCGGGCGUUAAUCGGAAUUACUGGGCGUAAAGCGCAUGCAGGCGGCCUGUUAAGUCAGAUGUGAAAGCCCGGGGCUUAACCUCGGAAUUGCAUUUGAAACUGGCAGGCUAGAGUCUUGUAGAGGGGGGUAGGAAUUUCAGGUGUAGCGGUGAAAUGCGUAGAGAUCUGAAGGAAUACCAGUGGCGAAGGCGGCCCCCUGGACAAAGACUGACGCUCAGAUGCGAAAGCGUGGGGAGCAAACAGGAUUAGAUACCCUGGUAG